CCUACGGUGGGCAGCAGUGAGGAAUAUUAGUCAAUGGACGAGAGUCUGAACCAGCCAAGUAGCGUGAAGGAUGACUGCCUUAUGGGUUGUAAACUUCUUUUAUAUGGGAAUAAAAUGUUCCACGUGUGGGAUUUUGUAUGUACCAUAUGAAUAAGGAUCGGCUAACUCCGUGCCAGCAGCCGCGGUAAUACGGAGGAUCCGCGCGUUAUCCGGAUUUAUUGGGUUUAAAGGGAGCGUAGGUGGAUUGUUAAGUCAGUUGUGAAAGUUUGCGGCUCAACCGUAAAAUUGCAGUUGAAACUGGCAGUCUUGAGUACAGUAGAGGUGGGCGGAAUUCGUGGUGUAGCGGUGAAAUGCUGAGAUAUUGCGCAGAACUCCGAUUGCGAAGGCAGCAUACCGGCGGCGAUCUGACGCUGAGGCACGAAAGCGUGGGUAUCGAACAGGAUUAGAUACCCGGGUAGUC
rnacentral:rRNA from 1 species